rnacentral:ncRNA from 2 species
AUUGAAUGAGUAUGUUUCCUUCAUAUAUCCUCGAAAAUAAGGUUCGAGAGUCUCUACCGGGUCGCCACUGUAAUGGCCUGACUAUGAAGGCAGAAUUUUUCUGU